GGUGAUUUGGUUUAAAAUAAUCUAGAAAACAUAAAAAUAAAAUUAACUGGGAAGAAACAGAUGAAACAAGAUUGGCAAAAUGUUGAUAAUAGUUGAUGGGUACCUGGGGGAUCAUUAAACUAUUCUCCCUUCUUUAUGUUUGAAAUUUUCUAUAACAAAAAGCUAUCUUUAAAAAAGCACACAAGCUACUCUCUUAUGGAAGGAGACUUGGUGAGCUCUCUUUCCUUCUCUCACCUAGAAGACUAGAGGAGUAUGAGGAGGCCUGGGAUCUGUAUGCCAGGGGAGAAGAUCCAGCCAGCCCUUUCUCCUGGAACACUCUCUCUCAUCUAGCUAGUACAAUGGGUGUACAGGUGGACACAGGACAGACACUUACCCACCUGCUCUUUUCCUCUGGUUCUGGUAAAUAGCCCCUCAAUACCUUGCAGGCAGCAGUAAUUUAGCUGGGAUAAGAUUCAAGUAUUUCUGGGUUCUUAGCUAACAUAGCAUCUUAUUAUCAUGUGAUUAUCACCUCUUCAUUACCAGUCGUCUUCCUCUGGAGAGCAUAAUUCUGUGAGAAGAAUCUCCCUGUAUAAUAGUGACCCCCUACACACACACAUACACACACACACACACACACACACUCUGAGGCUACCUGAGAUGCUGCCAUGAAUACUCAGCCCCUAGACACAGGAGGAGAGGAGUGUCUGUGAGCAACAGACAAAAGAUUUAUGUGAAAUGGAUUUCUGAGAAGCCAUGAAAAGGGAAGACAUCUAUCUGUCUAGCAGUGAUUAAAAGGCAGGGAAAGAUCUGA